rnacentral:rRNA from 1 species
CGGAGGAAAAGAAACCAACAGGGAUUGCCUCAGUAGCGGCGAGUGAAGCGGCAAAAGCUCAAAUUUGAAAUCUGGCGUCUUUGGCGUCCGAGUUGUAAUUUGAAGAAGGUAUCUUUGGGCCCGGCUCUUGUCUAUGUUCCUUGGAACAGGACGUCACAGAGGGUGAGAAUCCCGUGCGAUGAGAUGACCCGGGUCUGUGUAAAGUUCCUUCGACGAGUCGAGUUGUUUGGGAAUGCAGCUCUAAGUGGGUGGUAAAUUCCAUCUAAAGCUAAAUAUUGGCGAGAGACCGAUAGCGAACAAGUACAGUGAUGGAAAGAUGAAAAGAACUUUGAAAAGAGAGUGAAAAAGUACGUGAAAUUGUUGAAAGGGAAGGGCUUGAGAUCAGACUUGGUAUUUUGCAUGUUGCUCUCUCGGGGGCGGCCGCUGCGGUUUACCGGGCCAGCAUCGGUUUGGAGCGGCAGGAUAAUGGCGGAGGAAUGUGGCACGGCUUCUGCUGUGUGUUAUAGCCUCUGACGAUACUGCCAGCCUAGACCGAGGACUGCGGUUUUUACCUAGGAUGUUGGCAUAAUGAUCUUAAGUCGCCCG